GGAGGUUACUGCUAUCGGUGUUCGCCUAACCCAUGCAAGUCAUAUGUUCUUCGUGAACAUGGCGUACUGCUCAGUAACACGUGAAUAACCUGCCCUUGGGACCGGCAUAACCCCGGGAAACUGGGGAUAAUUCCGGAUACCGCAUAUAUGCUGGAAUGCUUUAUGCGUGAAAUGGAUUCGUCUGCCCAAGGAUGGAUCUGCGGCCUAUCAGGUAGUAGUGGGUGUAAUGUACCUACUACCCUACAACGGGUACGGGUUGUGAAAGCAAAAGCCCGGAAAUGGAUUCUGAAACAUGAAUCCGGGCCCUACGGGGCGCACCAGGCGCAAAAACUUUACAAUGCGGGAAACCGUGAUAAGGGGACACCGAGUGCCAGCAACAUUUGUUGGCUGUCCAGGUGUGUAAACUACACCUGUUAGCAAGGGCCGGGCAAAACCGGUGC
rnacentral:rRNA from 1 species